rnacentral:rRNA from 1 species
UGGGAUGACGUCAAGUCAUCAUGGCCCUUAUGUCCCAGGGCGACACGACGCGCUACAAUGGCCGGCACAGCGGGAAGCGAGGGGGCGACCUUGAGCGGAUCCCUCAAAGCCGGUCUCAGUUCGGAUUGCAGUCUGGCAACUCGACUGCAUGAAGUUGGAAUCGCUAGUAAUCGUGGAUCAGCCAAGCCGCGGUGAAUACGUUCCCGGGCCUU